UACGUAGGCAGCGAGCGUUGUUCGGAGUUACUGGGCGUAAAGGGUGUGUAGGCGGUUGUUUAAGUUUGGUGUGAAAUCGCCCGGCUACAACUGGGCGCGGUCGGUGGAAACUGGUCACCUGGAGGACGGUAGAGGCGAGUGGAAUUCCCGGUGUAGUGGUGAAAUGCGUAGAGAUCGGGAGGAACACCAGUGGCGAAGGCGGCAUCCUGGACCAACACUGACGCUGAGGAGCGAAAGCCAGGGGAGCAAACGGG
rnacentral:rRNA from 1 species